ensembl:lncRNA
GGGAGAUGUUUGAUAUACAAAUUUGCAUUUUAAAAACUUCUGAAAUAGUAUUUAACUGCUUUCUAUAAUCCAUUGAUCAUAGACAGCAGUUUCAUAGGAGUUGAAAGUUACCAAGCAGGUUCCUUGUAUUUUAAUUUUGAUGAAAUUACAGGGUUUGUGUUGUAUUUUAUUACAUUACCAUCUCUCCCACUGCUCAUGGAUUUCCCCUGCUGCUGUCUGUGAAUAACUGUUACCAUUUGGUGAGUUUGGGUGUAACUAGUCAAAUGGAAAUAGAAGCAAUAAAAAGAAAUCAGAACUGCAUUUAUGAGAUUAAUGCCUUGCUAUAUCAUAGAUCAUAAAUUAAAACCUUCUGGCAAAUACAGUUAAGACUAAUGUUAGAAAAUGACUGAAGAAUCCAGAUUCCAGAUGUGGAACUUGCCAAGUCUGUAGGGAAGUGUCACACCAUAUAUUAGACAUUACUAAUACUUCAGUAUGUAUCUGUGCUCCAUCAACAGGUUCUUAAAUAGUUUGCACUCAGAAUAGGAUGUACAUUGUUCACAUUUUUUUUUUUGGUGACUAUUUUAGUGAAAAUGAAUAAAUUGCAGAAGUACUAUGUAUAUCACUUGGUGCAUUGUGCAGCAGAUUGAAGAAAAUAAAUCUGUCUUUGGUUAAUUCAGCAAUCUGAAGUUAGUAUUUUAUUCUGCUAAGGGUUUAGAUCCACUUUUGGGUAAAUUGCAUAAAGGAAAUUUUGGAAUGGUUUGAAAAUGGUAGUUUUAAUAUUUCUUGUAAUCCAGUCACAAGAUAGGGUUGCAGUCCAUCUGUGCAUUUGAGUUUACAGUUCAGGGGUUUUAUAUUUAAAAUGGAUAUCAAUAUAUGUAAUUCCUCCUUUAGACAUCAGAUUUGUUGUGGAAAUUUCUCUCUUCUACAGAAUAUGAAAAUAAAGCAGUUCAUAAACUUUAGUCUGAACGCUGGAAAUAGACUUUAAAAUAUUUGUAUGGGCUUAAAAUAUUUGAGAGUUUUUUCUUUUGAUCUAUUAAAAAAGGACUUCACUAGUGCAAAAUUCUGAGUACUUCCAUGUCCCGUCCCAUUAAAGCCACCUGUCCUGUGGGUGCCCAUGCUUAUCAUUAAUUGACCAGGCCUAUAAUGGGAUGGUAAGCCACAGCUGCUAUUGCUGCUGUUCAGGUGCUGAGCUUCCUUGCUCUGGCAGUCUUAGUCCUGCAGGCUGCUCUGCCUUUCAGGUACUUUGGCUACCACCAUAUUCGCACUCUGCUCUUGUGUUUGUGAGCAGCAAGAUGAUUUUAGGGGUGUUUGUUGCAACCCUGCAUGGAUGCACUACAUAUCAGCCAGGAAUUUACCUGGUGUCUUUCUUUCUUUUACCUUUUUCCUGUGUGUCUUCCCAUACCCAGUGUAACAAGAACAGAAGUACCUGCUGGAAUGUGUAGCAUGUGUCCCAAAGGCUGUGGAGUAAAUUAGGAAAAGUGCAUAGUUGGAAGUUGUGAUCUCGAUCACAUGGGGGAUUUUGUAAUGGGAAGAGCUGCAAUUUUUUAACAGUCUUUCAAGAGUUCAAACUAAGAACAUAUACCUCACCUGAGUGGCCCCCAAAAGGGGGGAUUUUUAACAAAGCUUUUAUAUUUAUAAACUUCCCAGGACUCUGAAUCAUUGGAAAUUAUAACUACUUACUCUGUUGUGAAAUUUACAUAUUUCAUUAUAAAAAAUGACUGACCAAGAAAUUCCAAGGAUGUUGUGAAUAUUCUUCAAAUUCCCACAAUUAUUUAAGAAUAUUUCGGGACUUUAGGCUAAAUUCAACGUAGAUGUCAUAAGUGUUCUUUGCAAUGAAUAGUAUUUCUGGAGCAGGCUGAAAAGUUAAUUGAAUGACCAGUUGUAUAUUAUUGAAUUGGUUAUUUAAUGAAAACUCAUUUUUAGUGUGAUCUUGGUUGUUACUAUGAACUGCCUGAACAUUGUAUAUCCUAAUUGAGUUAUAGUGUAUGAAUUAUUUAUUUGUAAUUGGAUAUCAUGUUACAAAAAUAAAAUUAAUUUCACAAAUCAGGUCCCAUACCUCC